GACGAACGCUGGCGGCGUGCUUAACACAUGCAAGUCGAACGGAAAGGCCCUGCUUGCAGGGUGCUCGCGAGGCGAACGGGUGAGUAACACGUGGGUGAUAUGCCCUGCACUUCGGGGUAUGCCUGGGAAAAUGGGUCUAAUAUAGGAUAGGAGCCAUCUUUAGGGAGAUGGUGGGAAAGUUUUUUCGGUGUGGGAUGAGAGCGCGGCCUUUCAGCUUGUUGGUGGGGUAAUGGCCUACCAAGGCGGCGACGGGUAGCCGGCCUGAGAGGGUGGACGGCCACCAUUGGGCCUGGGUUCGGCCCCGACCUCCUCGGGGGGGAGCAGGGGGGAAAUUUUCCCCAUUGGCCCGAGCCUUAUGCAAGCACCCCCGGGGGCGGGAGACCGGCCUUGGGUUUGUAACCCCUUUCGCUAUGUACCGAGCUGUUUGUGACGGUACCUAGUAAAGAAGCACCGGCUAACUACGUG
rnacentral:rRNA from 1 species